UACGUAGGGUGCAAGCGUUAAUCGGAAUUACUGGGCGUAAAGCGUGCGCAGGCGGUGAUGUAAGACAGGUGUGAAAUCCCCGGGCUUAACUUGGGAACUGCAUUUGUGACUGCAUCGCUGGAGUGCGGCAGAGGGGGAUGGAAUUCCGCGUGUAGCAGUGAAAUGCGUAGAUAUGCGGAGGAACACCGAUGGCGAAGGCAAUCCC
rnacentral:rRNA from 1 species